rnacentral:rRNA from 1 species
GUGGGGAAUAUUGCACAAUGGGGGAAACCCUGAUGCAGCCAUGCCGCGUGUGUGAAGAAGGCCUUCGGGUUGUAAAGCACUUUCAGUGGGGAGGAAGGGCUGAUGACUAAUAUUCAUCAGCAUUGACGUUACCCACAGAAGAAGCACCGGCUAACUCCGUGCCAGCAGCCGCGGUAAUACGGAGGGUGCAAGCGUUAAUCGGAAUAACUGGGCGUAAAGCGCACGCAGGCGGUUAGAUAAGUCAGAUGUGAAAGCCCCGGGCUCAACCUGGGAACUGCAUUUGAAACUGUCUGACUAGAGUCUUGUAGAGGGGGGUAGAAUUCCAGGUGUAGCGGUGAAAUGCGUAGAUAUCUGGAGGAACAUCAGUGGCGAAGGCGACACCCUGGACUGAUACUGACACUGAGGUGCGAAAGCGUGGGUAGCGAACAGGAUUAGAUACCCCAGUAGUCC